rnacentral:rRNA from 1 species
UAUGGUAAUCCAGCAGCCGCGGUAAUACGUAGGUGGCACGCGUUGUCCGGAAUUAUUGGGCGUACAGCGCGCGCAGGCGGCUUCUUAAGUCCAUCUUAAAAGUGCGGGGCUUAACCCCGUGAUGGGAUGGAAACUGGGAGGCUGGAGUAUCGGAGAGGAAAGUGGAAUUCCUAGUGUAGCGGUGAAAUGCGUAGAGAUUAGGAAGAACACCGGUGGCGAAGGCGACUUUCUGGACGACAACUGACGCUGAGGCGCGAAAGCGUGGGGAGCAAACAGG